rnacentral:rRNA from 1 species
GAUGAACGCUGGCGGCGUGCCUAAUACAUGCGAGUCGAGCGAACAGACGAGGAGCUUGCUCCUCUGACGUUAGCGGCGGACGGGUGAGUAACACGUGGAUAACCUACCUAUAAGACUGGGAUAACUUCGGGAAACCGGAGCUAAUACCGGAUAAUAUAUUGAACCGCAUGGUUCAAUAGUGAAAGACGGUUUUGCUGUCACUUAUAGAUGGAUCCGCGCCGCAUUAGCUAGUUGGUAAGGUAACGGCUUACCAAGGCAACGAUGCGUAGCCGACCUGAGAGGGUGAUCGGCCACACUGGAACUGAGACACGGUCCAGACUCCUACGGGAGGCAGCAGUAGGGAAUCUUCCGCAAUGGGCGAAAGCCUGACGGAGCAACGCCGCGUGAGUGAUGAAGGUCUUCGGAUCGUAAAACUCUGUUAUUAGGGAAGAACAAAUGUGUAAGUAACUAUGCACGUCUUGACAGUACCUAAUCAGAAAGCCACGGCUAACUACGUG